rnacentral:rRNA from 1 species
CCUACGGGAGGCAGCAGUGGGGAAUAUUGGACAAUGGGGGCAACCCUGAUCCAGCCAUGCCGCGUGUGUGAAGAAGGCCCUCGGGUUGUAAAGCACUUUCAGUGAGGAAGAACGCCUGGUGGUUAAUACCCAUCAGGAAAGACAUCACUCACAGAAGAAGCACCGGCUAACUCCGUGCCAGCAGCCGCGGUAAUACGGAGGGUGCGAGCGUUAAUCGGAAUUACUGGGCGUAAAGCGCGCGUAGGUGGCUUGAUAAGCCGGUUGUGAAAGCCCCGGGCUCAACCUGGGAACGGCAUCCGGAACUGUCAAGCUAGAGUGCAGGAGAGGAAGGUAGAAUUCCCGGUGUAGCGGUGAAAUGCGUAGAGAUCGGGAGGAAUACCAGUGGCGAAGGCGGCCUCCUGGACUGACACUGACACUGAGGUGCGAAAGCGUGGGUAGCAAACAGGAUUAGAUACCCCAGUAGUC